AGUAAUAUGUCUGAUUAAAAGAUAUAUUUUGAUAAAAUAUUUAUGUAUAAAAUUUUUAUACUAUUACUA
rnacentral:tRNA from 1 species